CGGGGGAAAAUGAAUUUUUAAUUUUAAUCGUGAAACUUAUGUUAGGUCGAUUUCUGUGUGUUUUUUUAGCAUUUUUGUGUUCAUAGUACACACCUGUUACUGAAGGCUGUGUAGUGUCAACAUACAUCAUGUGUACAUAUUGAUACACAGGCGCAAAAUAUAAGGGAGAUAUGCAAAAGACAUACGAUGGAUCAGGAGGUAUGUUACUGUUGCAAAAUUGAAAGUUGACUAUUGAAAAGUGGAAAUUAUGACGUUUGUCCUAGAUUUUAUUUUGAAAUCUUCUAUCUGUCUUAA
rnacentral:lncRNA from 1 species